rnacentral:rRNA from 1 species
UACGUAGGUGGCGAACGUUAUCCGGAAUCACUGGGCGUAAAGGGUCCGCAGGUGGUCUUGAAGGUCUGGCGUGAAAUCAUCUGGCUCAACUAGAUGUCGCCGUUGGAAACCGUAAGACUAGGUUCACGCAGAGGUCGGUGGAAUUCCCGGUGUAGUGGUGGAAUGCGUAGAGAUCGGGAGGAACCCCAAAAGCGAAGGCAGCCGGCUGGGCGAUGAACGACACUGAGGGACGAAAGCGUAGGGAGCGAACAGG